AGAGUCGAAUGCAGCCAAGGAUGACUUGCCGACACAUGCUGGAAGAAGAGUGCCUUCACUGCAAGUUGUUGGCAAGUUUGUCCUUGGCUACACUUGGCUCUCU
rnacentral:pre_miRNA from 1 species